rnacentral:rRNA from 1 species
GACGUAGGGCGCGAGCGUUGUCCGGAUUUAUUGGGCGUAAAGAGCUCGUAGGCGGCUUGUCGCGUCGAAUGUGAAAACUCGGGGCUCAACUCCGAGCUUGCAUUCGAUACGGGCAGGCUAGAGUUCGGUAGGGGAGACUGGAAUUCCUGGUGUAGCGGUGAAAUGCGCAGAUAUCAGGAGGAACACCGGUGGCGAAGGCGGGUCUCUGGGCCGACAUUGACGCUGAGGAGCGAAAGCGUGGGGAGCGAACAGG